rfam:Cavia porcellus supercont2_54 genomic scaffold, whole genome shotgun sequence.
UGGCGCCCGUCGUGGGGCUCCUGGCACGAGGGGCUUAACAAGGGAGCCGUCCUGAGAUGCGCGCGUAAGAAGGGAACUAAGAGUUUUGUGACCAAUGCUACGUGGGAGCCUGUCAUGCCACUGAGUCACGGUAAGUGGACGGCGAUCCUUUCCCUUUUUUUCCGGCAUGGGUCAGGCAUUAAGUGAUGCUUUGUGUCAGAUUUAACCAAAGCUUUAAAGACAAGAGGGAUAAAGGCUAAAGAAAAAGAUUUAUUGCAGUACUUUCAAGUUAUUCAUAAGGCUUGCCCUU